CCUACGGGCGGCAGCAGUGGGGAAUAUUGCACAAUGGGGGAAACCCUGAUGCAGCGACGCCGCGUGAGUGAAGAAGUAAUUCGUUACGUAAAGCUCUAUCAGCAGGGAAGAAAAUGACGGUACCUGAGUAAGAAGCCCCGGCUAACUACGGGCCAGCAGCAGCGGUAAUCCGGAGGGGGCAAGCGGUAUCCGGAUUUACGUGGGGGAAAGGGUGCGUAGAAGGUUCGCCAAGUCAGGAGUUAAAUGCCGCAGCUUAACUGCGGAACCGCUUUGGAAACUGGCGAACUAGAGUGCGGGAGAGGUAAGCGGAAUUCCGAGUGUAGCGGUGAAAUGCGUAGAUAUUAGGAGGAACACCGGUGGCGAAGGCGGCUUACUGGACCGUAACUGACGUUGAGGCUCGAAAGCGUGGGGAGCAAACAGGAGUAGAUACCCCUGUAGUC
rnacentral:rRNA from 1 species